CGGGGGUCUAUUAUAAACCGUCAAUAUACCGUUGAAUGUCGUUUAUUAUGAACUUUGUAUUAGGCCCCGCAUGUUGAAAUGACAUAUGAAUAUGAUGGUCACUUGAAUGUCAUUUUGUCUCACUCAGUGAGCAAAAUGCGAUUUUGCUCACUGUUUUUAAGUAGCAAAGUACCCUUGUUCGAGCUGCUGACGUGAAAAUAAUAUUAU